CACAACACACACACUUACAGAGCUGCCAUCAGCACCACACCCCUGGGGAGCACCCUUUACAAACUCUCGCUUUCACUCAACAGAAUGACUGUCUUUGAAGGGGCUGUCCUAGCAACCCAGAUGUCAACAGUCAAAAGAAAGAAAUGGAAGAGAAACAACAAUAUCUACUUUGAGUAAGCCACAGAAAAUUAGCAUAUUGUAACGAGAAGCCAGGAACUUACCUUCAUUGGCUCCAUCUUCUGGACCUGAAUCUGUCCUGCUACAAAACCUGUCUGCUCCACAGCCGUGUCCACCAUCUCUCUGCAGUUGCGGGAGUGCCUUAUCUUCAUCUGAGAAAUCACUUCCACUCGAACUCCAUGUUAUAUCUGCCAGCUCACCAGGACUCUCACCUGCUGUUUCUGCAACAGAAGAUGAGAAGACAAAUGGCAGCUGACAAUUGUCAUUCAUCAGAAUGAGAGUUUAUGCAUAUUAUAUAGGCACAAGCACAAAACCCUAAAGACAACAAAAACAACGUUGUGUUACAUCUUCUUCAGUGUUCUAUGAGUAGUCCUGCACGGCAUCUCUAAAUUAAAGCCAAGGACAAAAGCUGGGGUUCAAGUAAAUUAUAAGAGACAAAUGAAAAAAGAAUGAGAUAAAGAAAUAGUCAUGGACACAGGCCUCAUACCCUAGACAUUGUUUUUAAAUUAUGUUCCUUACUUAUAUUUUCCAGCUCUCAUAAAAAUAUUUGCUCCUCAACCUACUAAAUAAAUGUGGUUAGUUUUCUUGUU